GAUUAACGCUGGCGGCGUGCAUAACACAUGCAAGUCGAACGAUGAAACUCAUUAGAUUUCUUCGGAAUGAAAAUGAAUGGAUUAGUGGCGAACGGGUGAGUAACGCGUGAGUAACCUGCCUUACACAAGGGGAUAGCCUCUGGAAACGGAGAAUAAUACCCUAUGAAACCAGACAAUCGCAUGAUAAUCUGGUCAAAAUGUUUAGUGGUGUAAGAUGGACUUGCGUCUGAUUAGCUAGUUGGUGAGAUAAAAGCUCACCAAGGCAACGAUCAGUAGCCGGCUUGAGAGAGUGUACGGCCACAUUGGGACUGAGACACGGCCCAGACUCCGACGGGAGGCAGCAGUGGGGAAUUUUGCACAAUGGGGGAAACCCUGAUGCAGCGACGCCGCGUGAUUGAGAAGGCCUUCGGGUUGUAAAAAUCUUUUGUAUAGGAAGAAAAUGACAGUACUAUACGAAUAAGGUCCGGCUAAUUACGUG
rnacentral:rRNA from 1 species